rnacentral:rRNA from 1 species
UACAGAGGGUGCGAGCGUUAAUCGGAAUUACUGGGCGUAAAGCGCACGUAGGCGGUUCGGCAAGUCAGAGGUGAAAUCCCCAGGCUCAACCUGGGAAUUGCCUUUGAUACUGCCGGACUAGAGUCCGGGAGAGGGUAGUGGAAUUCCCAGUGUAGAGGUGAAAUUCGUAGAUAUUGGGAAGAACACCGGUGGCGAAGGCGGCUACCUGGACCGGUUCUGACGCUGAGGUGCGAAAGCGUGGGGAGCAAACAGG